rnacentral:rRNA from 1 species
ACUCAAAUGAAUUGACGGGGGCCCGCACAAGCGGUGGAGCAUGUGGUUUAAUUCGACGCAACGCGCAGAACCUUACCAGGGUUUGACAUCCUGAGACCGCUCCUGAAAGGGAGUUUUCCCGCAAGGGACUCAGAGACAGGUGCUGCAUGGCUGUCGUCAGCUCGUGUCGUGAGAUGUUGGGUUAAGUCCCGCAACGAGCGCAACCCUCGCCUUUAGUUGCCAUCAUUAAGUUGGGCACUCUAGAGGGACCGCCGGCGACAAGCCGGAGGAAGGUGGGGAUGACGUCAAGUCCUCAUGGCCCUUACACCCUGGGCUACACACGUGCUACAAUGGCGGUGACAGUGAGCAGCUAGUUCGCGAGAACGUGCUAAUCUCUAAAAACCGUCCCAGUUCAGAUUGCACUCUGCAACUCGAGUGCAUGAAGGUGGAAUCGCUAGUAAUCGCAGAACAGCAGGCUGCGGUGAAUACGUUCCCGGGCCUUGUACACACCGCCCGU